GACGGUUAAUUUGCCCACCGCUACUCUUACCUUGAGCCACAGUAGCAUCGUGCACAACCGGUGGUUCUGGAAUUUGGGCGAGCGGCUGCACUGGCGAUUGCUGCUGGCGAUUGCUGCUGGCGACGAGCGGCUCCACCGGCGAUUGCAGCCGGCGACGAGCCUGGGAUUGCGGCGGGCGGCUGCAGCUGAGGACAGCCGCCAGCGGUUUCAGGGCAAGCGCGCGACCUCGCCGGCGCGCGUCCAGGCGACCUCGCCGGCGCGCGACCUCCGACCUUAUGCUCCGGCAGCAGCUGCGAUCCCCGACCUCCACCAGUUGCCAGAUCCAGGUGAGGCCAAGUCUUCUACAGAUAAGGUAUGAUGGGUUUUUGGCAGAUUCACGUUCCGUGAUGUCACAGAGGUGAAGUAGAGAAGAGACACUGGGACGGUCUUCUGGCUGGUGCCUAGUGCAUCAAGUGUAUGGCACUGCAGCAGGUAGCAUAGAUGGUAUGCAAUGCUGCGGGUGGCCUCGUCUGCGACAUCAUCGACGUAUGGGACAGACGGCGAUGUUCAAAAUAUUAAGUGGGAUUGGGGGUGUGUCCUGCUCCUGGGUACACAAUGAAAUGUAGAGCUGCACUGCAUGUUGUGGUCUUCAGCGUCGGGCUGCCUAGUACGGUGGAAAUACAACAUCAAAGCGUCGUCUAGUGGAGCUGAUGUAACUAAAUAAUUUGCAUCGACUCAUGUAAUUUAUUACAUGUUAACAUAUUAAUUCCUUUACUUUUGAUAUGCGCGCAAUGCCUGAAAUAUGUAGACACAUGUGUGCAUGGACACACUGGAGUUCUUGCUGAAGCCGUACGUGCAAAACUUGCAUUGUGUAAUCAGGCCAUCCUUACUAUUCUUACGGGCAUUAAACUUUUACAUCACCUCUGAAAUAUCUUAGCUUUAUUAAGUUGUAAUCAUUCUUCUUUAUCAGUGUAUAUUAUCUACCAUGACUUGGAGUUCCUA